rnacentral:rRNA from 1 species
GCCAGACUCCUACGGGAGGCAGCAGUGGGGAAUAUUGCACAAUGGGGGAAACCCUGAUGCAGCGACGCCGCGUGAGCGAUGAAGUAUUUCGGUAUGUAAAGCUCUGUCAGCAGGGAAGAGAAUGACGGUACCUGACCAAGAAGCCCCGGCUAAAUACGUGCCAGCAGCCGCGGUAAUACGUAUGGGGCAAGCGUUAUCCGGAUUUACUGGGUGUAAAGGGAGCGUAGGCGGCAGGGCAAGCCUGAUGUGAAAGCCCGGGGCUCAACCCCGGGACUGCAUUGGGAACUGCCCCGCUCGAGUGCCGGAGGGGCAGGCGGAAUUCCUGGUGUAGCGGUGAAAUGCGUAGAUAUCAGGAGGAACACCGGCGGCGAAGGCGGCCUGCUGGACCGCGACUGGCGUUGAGGCUCGAAAGCGUGGGGAGCGAACAGGAUUAGAUACCCUAGUA